UUGUCUUUUAAAUGAAGACCCGUAUGAAUGGCAAGACGAGGGCUUAGCUGUCUCCUUUUUCAAGUCAAUGAAAUUGAUCUUCCCGUGCAGAAGCGGGAAUUCCGACAUAAGACGAGAAGACCCUAUGGAGCUUUAGACACCAAGACAGACCACGUCAAAACUCCCUAAUAAAGGACCGAACUAAAUGGACCCUGUCCUAAUGUCUUUGGUUGGGGCGACCACGGGGAAAUACAAAACCCCCGCGUGGAAUGGGAGUACCCUUGCUCCUACAACUGAGAGCUUCCGCUCUAAUAAACAGAAUUUCUGACCAACAAGAUCCGGCAACGCCGAUCAACGAACCGAGUUACCCUAGGGAUAACAGCGCAAUCCUCUUUUAGAGCCCAUAUCGACAAGGGGGUUUACGACCUCGAUGU
rnacentral:rRNA from 1 species